GCAAUGACAAGUACCUGCCAAACACUGUUGUGAAAACCUCUCUCCUGGGAAAACAAAAGUCAUGACAUUUUGAGCACAAUUGUGUGUGGGAUGCAUUCAUCAAUAGAGCUGGAAGCACCAACCACCAUAGGAGAGGAAACUUUUAGUUACAAGCACAUGAAUAAAUAAAAUCAAACUCAACUGGAAUGACGUUCCUGAGGAUGGAGAUACAUUUUUUUGUUGACCCAUCUAAACUUGAACAGCAAGUGAUAAUCAGUCUCCAAUCAGAAAGUCCCAGAUUAAAGGAUGCUCAGAGAAAUUAACUUG
rnacentral:lncRNA from 1 species